UGAUGGGGAAGCCCUCCGGGGCGAAGUAGCUGAUUUCACACUGUCAAGAAAAGCUUCUAUCGAGUUUAAAGGCGCCCGUACCGUAAACCGACACAGGUGGGUGAGGAGAGUAUCCUAAGGCCAGCGAGAGAACUAUUGUUAAGGAACUCGGCAAAAUGACCCCGUAACUUAGGGAGAAGGGGUGCCUGUCUACGACAGGCCGCAGAGAAUAGGCCCAAGCGACUGUUUACCAAAAACACAGGUUUCUGCUAAGUCGCAAGACGAUGUAUAGGAGCUGACGCCUGCCCGGUGCUGGAAGGUUAAGGGGAUCUGUUAGAGCAAUCGAAGCAGUGAACUUAAGCCCCAGUAAACGGCGGCCGUAACAAUAACGGUCCUAAGGUAGCGAAAUUCCUUGUCGGGUAAGUUCCGACCCGCACGAAAGGCGUAACGAUUUGGGCACUGUCUCAACAAUAGACUCGGUGAAAUUGUAAUCCCGGUGAAGAUGCCGGGUACCUGCGACAGGACGGAAAGACCCCAUGGAGCUUUACUGUAGCUUGACGUUGGGUCUUGGUACUACAUGUACAGGAUAGGUGGGAGACUAUGAAGCAUGGACGCCAGUCUGUGUGGAGUCAUCCUUGGGAUACCACCCUUGUAGUACUGGGAUCCUAACCAUAGGCCUUGAAUCAGGUCUUGGAACACCGUCAGGUGGGCAGUUUGACUGGGGCGGUCGCCUCCUAAAAAGUAACGGAGGCGCUCAAAGGUUUCCUCAGCACGGUCGGAAAUCGUGCGAAGAGUGUAAAGGCAAAAGGAAGCUUGAUUGCAAGACAUACAGGUCGAGCAAGGACGAAAGUCGGACUUAGUGAUCCGGUGGUACCGCAUGGAAGGGCCAUCGCUCAACGGAUAAAAGCUACCCUGGGGAUAACAGGCUUAUCUCCCCCAAGAGUCCACAUCGACGGGGAGGUUUGGCACCUCGAUGUCGGCUCAUCACAUCCUGGGGCUGUAGUAGGUCCCAAGGGUUGGGCUGUUCGCCCAUUAAAGUGGUACGCGAGCUGGGUUCAGAACGUCGUGAGACAGUUCGGUCCCUAUCCGUCGCAGGCGUAGGAAAUUUGAGAAGACCUGUCCUUAGUACGAGAGGACCGGGAUGGACGUACCUCUGGUGUACCAGUUGUUCUGCCAAGGGCAUGGCUGGGUAGCUAUGUACGGAAUGGAUAAGCGCUGAAAGCAUCUAAGCGCGAAGCCAACUUCAAGAUAAGAUUUCCCACCGUAA
rnacentral:rRNA from 1 species